rnacentral:rRNA from 1 species
UGGCCUGAAAGGGUUGGGCAAACUGAAUCAUAACCGUCGUGACUGGGAUCGGGGCUUGCAAUUGUUCCCCGUGAACGAGGAAUUCCUGGUAAGUGCAAGUCAUAAGCUUGCGCUGAUUACGUCCCUGCCCUUUGUACACACCGCCCGUCGCUACUACCGAUUGAAUGGUUUAGCAAGGUCAUCGGAUCGGUGCUAUUGUAGUUGUUUCGGCAACUCGACCGGCGCUGAGAAGACGACCAAACUUGAUCAUUUAGAGGAAGUAAAAGUCGUAACAAGGUUUCCGUAGGUGAACCUGCGGAAGGAUCAUUACAGUAAUCCAAAAAAAAUACAACUCAGUUUUACUGAGAUGUUGGGUUUGUAAUAACCCAAGCGAACUAACAGGUUUAUCCUAAAAGGUUUAUCCUGUUACUACCUCGCAGAAUGGUCUGCCUACGGUGGAGCGCCCCAGUUCUACCAAUCCCAGGCUAUACCUGGUGCACAUGCGUACCUACGUAUAGUCCUCAAUGACAGGGUGCCUACUUGUCUGAUGCUAUCGGGAUGCUCGCAGCCUUGUGUUGUCAGUUAAUCUUGUUAGUGACGAGUUGUGCUGCCUCUCGAGGUAGUGCUAGGCUUAAAGAGUGGUAUUUGACUACGGUUGGUCCACCGCCCUGUUUGUUUGUUUCCACAAUCAUUUUACACUGUUAAAGUGGUUCAAGUUGGCUUCGGCUGGUUUGGAUCAUUGCCCCCAACAUGCACCUGGCGUGAGCUAGUCUGCACGUUUAGUCGCCUGGCGGUGCCUUAUCCCAGGUAGGACUACAAAAACCUUAGUUCAUUUGGGAAACCAAUGAUCUAGGUUAGUACAACUCUGAGCGGUGGAUCACUCGGCUCGUGUGUCGAUGAAGAGUGCAGCCAACUGUGUGAAUUAAUGUGAACUGCAUACUGCUUUGAACAUCGACAUCUUGAACGCACAUUGCGGCCAUGGGCUAGCUCAUGGCCACGCCUGUCCGAGGGUCGGCUUAUAAACUAUCACGACGCCCAAAAAGUCGUGGCUUGGGUCUUGCCAGCUGACGUGAUUUCCCUAUUGGUGCAAGCUAACGGGGUGUCAGAUCUAUGGCGUUUCCCUAAUAAUUCCAGUUACAACCUCCUUUUGGCUGAAGGCCAUAUUGGAGGGUGACUGUGGAGUCGUGGCUCAAUGGUAAUGUUUGCGCGCGCUCUGCAUUGUCACCACUGUAUCUGUUAAACGUGAAAUGCUUUCUGCAUUUUACCUGACCUCGGAUCAGACGUGAAUACCCGCUGAACUUAAGCAUAUCACUAAGCGGAGGAAAAGAAACUAACAAGGAUUCCCUCAGUAACGGCGAGUGAACAGGGAAAAGCCCAGCACCGAAGCCUGUGGCCAUUUGGUCACUAGGCAAUGUGGUGUUUAGGUCGUUCCACAGAGGUUCUGCUCCAUCCUAAGUCCAUCAAUGAGUACGGUAGUAUGGACAUGGCCCAUUGAGGGUGAAAGGCCCGUGGGGGUGGAGACAUCGAAAGGCCAGAGCCUCUCUGGGUAGACCUUGGAGUCGGGUUGUUUGUGAAUGCAGCCCAAAGUGGGUGGUAAACUCCAUCCAAGGCUAAAUACUUGCACGAGUCCGAUAGAGAACAAGUACCGUGAGGGAAAGUUGAAAAGUACUUUGAAGAGAGAGUAAACAGUGCGUGAAACCGCUCAGAGGUAAACGGGUGGAGUUGAACUGCAAGCUUUGAGAAUUCAGCUGAUGAGUGUGGUUUGAGCUGGGUCAAAUUGGUGAACUCCGGAGUCUGCGUAUGAUCAGGUUCUCAUCUUCGGGUGAGAAUGCGCGAUGCACUUAUCAAGUGUUGUGCGCUUCGGUUGUUCCUCGGCCUGCUCGUCAGUGCACUUUCUCAGAGUAGUCACCACGACCGGCAUAUAUGCCUGGUGGAUACGGUUAAACCGGACUUGCAUUGUCUUGAUCGGCUUUGCUCGUUCGGGAUGGCAGGUAUCUCGUUGGCUUGUCUGUGGCUUGCUACAGGCUUUCGGUCUUCGAGUGUAAUCAGCUGACCGUACUAAACUUGUGCAGAAUGUCGGAGAUAGCGGCUUGUGGUGUGUUCAUGUGCAUUUGUUUGCUGACUUGUCCGGGUUUGGUUAUUUAGUUGCCUGUUAAAGCAGGCCUGGUGAUGGCUCGGAUACGUUCGGUAGAUGUUUGCAUAUGUGGCACUAUUCCAAGGGCCAAUAGUCUGUGGUGUAGUGGUAGACUUUCCACCCGACCCGUCUUGAAACACGGACCAAGGAGAGUAACAUGUACGCGAGUCAUUGGGCGUUACGAAACCCACAGGCGAAGUGAAAGUAAAGAUCUGACUUGUUCAGAUUGAGGUGAGAUCCUGUCGUUUCUCACGCAUGGUACUACCCAGCACCGAGCGGCAGGCGCAUCACCGGCCCGUCCCAUGGCAGUUGUUUUCGGACCGUUUUCGGUCGGGGCGGAGCAUGAGCGUACAUGUUGAGACCCGAAAGAUGGUGAACUAUGCUUGCGCAGGCUGAAGCCAGAGGAAACUCUGGUGGAGGGCCGCAGCGAUUCUGACGUGCAAAUCGAUCGUCAAACGUGAGUAUAGGGGCG